AGAUCUACAUUUUCGACAAAGGCCUGGUGUAAUAUUACGUACUUGAUGAAGGUUUAAUGACACGAAUGAGUACAAGUACAUUACAUUUUUCGACGAAGGCCUUCUGUAAUUUCAUACGCUUCUUACGCAACAUUCAAUAGAUUUAUUUACUGUAUUAUCAUUUCGACCAAGGCGAAUUCGACACUUCAAUUACACAAGCACAAUCAAACUUAGUCAUUCCAGUCAGUUACUGAAGCACAGCGAAAACUGUCUGAAUUAGUGCUGCUGAUGGCAUGUAAUUACUCUACUACCACUACCAGUGACAGUCAAUGUCCAUAUAUUUUCAAGUGUGCGAAAUUAGUACUCGUCUACUUCUUAGUGUUAUUUGAAUGCAAUGUAUGUUAUAAAAAUAUUUUUUCAACACUAUAUUAACAUUCUCAUUCCUGUCAGUUUCUGAAAAUCAGCUAAAGCAAUCGCUACCAAUGCAGCUGAUAACAGCAAUUCUUUUUGUUCCCAAUGCCCAUCCAUGACAAUAUAUUUCACGCAUGUGACAAUCAUGGUAUCAUCCUGUUUUUUGUGUUCUAUUCAUGCAAUAAAUAAAUUCAGUAUUUUCAAAUCAUUGGUGCUACAAAACUAUUCUCAUUAUAGAUUAUUCAUAUUUUAUGAAAUGCUGUCAUGUCAAAUUUUGUGUCCUAUAAAUCAUUAUGAAGUCGGCAUUUUAUAUACAACUUUUGUACUCCUAAAUAAACAUACAAAUCUUGUUUUAUGUAAACUUUGUAUAUGUGACCCGUCACAGCAAAACCAGGCGCAUGUCGCUCUGAGCUUGGCAGGUUGAGACGGACUGUUUGUUCAUUUAUCUAUUGUCUGCCUUUUGUAAAAUAUGAGCACAUCAAUUUCUUCCAUUAUCUCCUGGUGUCAUUUAGGCUCAUCUUCUGUGCGACAUGUACCUGGUUUUGCUGUGACGGGUCACAUAUUCUAUAGAUAUACAACACUCUAAUGUCACAAUGCCUCUCUCACUCGCUUUUAUAGAGCAAGAUGUAUGAAUAAACAUGACACACCAACUAUGUACAAAAUUGGUAACAAACUGCACCAUUUGUCAGUACACCACAUGAAAUACAGAGAUAUGUCUUAAUUCUAAUCUUUCAUUAGCGACACCAUUUCUUACCCGAGUGCCUCCUUCAUUCAUACAUCUUGUACUUUAACUCAAGAUACCCAUCUUUGAAUAUUUUUAGUAUACCAAGUACUACAAUGUCAAUGUAUUGAAGUCAUGUUCUUGUAGUGUUAUUGGCUUUCUAUUAUCUUGUCAAAAUACCACUUGGUUCUCGCAAAAUCUCAAUAAAAACAAAUGCUAUUGCAUGUAUUGCAUAUUCUAACAGCUAUCCACUGUAUCGAUUUAUCCAUCAUCUGUACUAUUUGUCACAAAAAUGUUAUAUUAUGUAAAUCAUAUUUCAUUACAUAAUGCACACUGCCAAGUACUGCUGAACCAUUUAUAUGUCAUUUAAAUAAAUAAUUUUCAACUUUUUAA